rnacentral:rRNA from 1 species
UACGGGGGGGGCAAGCGUUGUUCGGAAUUACUGGGCGUAAAGGGCUCGUAGGCGGCCAACUAAGUCAGACGUGAAAUCCCUCGGCUUAACCGGGGAACUGCGUCUGAUACUGGAUGGCUUGAGGUUGGGAGAGGGAUGCGGAAUUCCAGGUGUAGCGGUGAAAUGCGUAGAUAUCUGGAGGAACACCAAUGGCGAAGGCAGCUCGCUGGGACGGUACUGACGCUGAGGCGCGAAAGCGUGGGGAGCAAACAGG